UUAACUAUUGUAUAGUACUCAGACGACAUGUAUAAUUUAGGGUUUAGGGUCCUCUGGCGGGCACACACUAGCAGGUGCCGGUGGCCGCGGGGGGACGGCCCGCCAAAGCAACAGAGGUAAGGUAUUCAAGGGUGGGAGAUCUACCCCAAGGGGGCAUGAACUCUGUAAUGAUCCUUCCGCAGGUUCACCUACGGAAA
rnacentral:misc_RNA from 1 species